GACGUUUCUAUAAAUCAGUCAGUCACACAUGUGGUUUUCAGAUUGAGACAUUUUCAUCGAGUAGGACGGUGAGUUUUCUCUGUUAUCCAGUGACCUUUUUUUCAUGGCACCGCUAAUAACAAUAACCACCGGUCCAAUACUUCACCUGGCGUCACAGUUCAGUCGAUCUCUGCUUGUGACAGACCUUAUGAGCUUGUCGGUCGUCACCCUCCUCCUGCAGCAGCCUCAUUAGGUGCCAUCUGCCCGUGAUGACAGCUUAAUACACACCUGGUCUGACCUUCAAUUCUGCAGGCAGCCAGAGGACAGAGUUACCAUGGAAACAGAUGGAAACCUACAGCACGUCUCCCAUUAAAUGUAAUAAUGAGAGUAGAGGCGGUAUUUCUACCCGUAGAAGACAGUACUUAAGCUUUGGCCAUGUUUCAUCAUUUGCAGAGUCACAGUCUGUGGCGCUGACACAGAUGUGGCUAUAAACCACUGCAGGGGUUUGAUGCGGAGUCUGAUCAGUAAAACAGAGAUAACGGGCGGAACACAAGCGAGCAGGGUCGUCAUUCACGGCCGGGUAGACGUGAACACUGGGCACACUGUGCUGCUGGAGGCGAUGUCUGCCGAGAGAUGCUAUCGUUACCUCAUAGCUACAAUGGUCCCACAGACGGCAGACAGUGAACCAGCUGCACAGACGCUCUGCCAGGAAGACUGCGCCCCCUACAGGAGCAAAGCGUAAGGACGUGACCGUGCAGGUUUGGAUGCACGACUGCCGGAGCUAUUUCCUGUUGGCAUCCCUUGCUUCUCCUCUCAUGACGACGCACUCCGGCAUGCAGGAGGGAAGAGGAGAAGAGGGGUGAGCGCGGGAUGGAGCGGUUACCUCGCUUUCUAACGGAACGAUGACCAGGUGUCGCACAGGAUUUAAGACAACACACACAUUACAUUGUGAGAAGUCACUGGAUUCAGUGUUUGAGAGCAUUUGGAGAGUGGGUGAAUUUCCUACGCAGGCUUGUGGGUUUGUCUCCUCCCUCACCUGUUUUUCUCCUCUCCCCACUUAUUUUUCCCGUCUCUUUCUGUCAGCUCCUCCCACCCAACGGCUUUCAUGCCAGAUGUUAUCAGCUGAUUCUGGGUGAGACCACAAUGGAGCACGUUUGGGGAGGAGAGGAUGCAUCAUCUUUGUGUUAAAGUGUGACAGUUUGGUAUUUAUUGAAUGUGUAUGUGAACAUGAUACAAAGUUGGGUUUCUGGUCAUACAGUAUAUAACACAAUAGCCACAUCUGUAAACACUAUGCAUCCUCUUCUGCACAGAUAUAAACAAAUCAUAUACUGUCAGACAAACCUUUUGGUUUGAUCUGUGGCCACUGCAGUGAUAUAAGGAAAAAUGAAAAAUGUGCAAAUGAAUCAAUGUGUUAUUUAAUCUGCUCUGCCUGCUGAGAGCCUGGCAGACAGCUGACCUGCUUCUGAUGCAGGGCCAGGACAUCUGCGAGCCAUUUACAUUGUUUUGACUGAGGACUUAACCACUUUCAGCCUGGUCUUAGUGUAAUACAGCAAAAUGAGUCACACAGCCAAUAGCAAAAGGUUUCACACUUCAACUCAAAAUGAGCGUUUAUUAUUUUUCAUGUACUGCACUGUUGCAGUGUUGUUGUUACGUAUAUGACUCAUGCAUGUUGGUACUGUACUGUGUAAAAUUAAAAGAGAUGGGGAUUGUUCUGA